CCCACCAUGACUGCACCAGAGUACAGAUUCAACAAAGGCGGCAAACCAAGGCGAACCUGGAAAAUAAAGAGUUACCAUCUGAGGCUUAUCUGGAAACAACCACAGUUAAGCACGAAGUGUGAUAAGAAGACUUACAGGAUGCAGAACAAGAAAUUUACAUAUACUUUCAAGGUAUGGGUUCAAGAAGCCACCAAGCUUGUCUACAACAGCCUCCACAGCAAUGAGAAUUGAAAGCAAGAGAUCACCAGGACUAAAUGAUCUACUAGAAGAAUCAACCUCAACUUCUCUUUCUGCAUUAAAACUUGAGAUGUUGUCCAAGGUCAUCAUGAUACUCUCCAUCAUGCUGGGGAGAUGAACCAGUGCCUUUGCCCCAAGCACAUUGAUUAAAGUACCUGCAGUACGCAGGCAGGUGGAAGAUAGUGUGGCAUCCGGUGACUUUAUGGUUCUGACAACAGAUGCAAGGAAAUGGUUGAAAAUCGAAUAAUUAGAAGGAAACCGGUUGGCCAAAACUUCCACGGCUGAAACUGCUGCAAGUUUCAAAGAUCUGUUGGAAUCUUCUGACGAUGCAUGAAGUAACUGAAUAAUGUCCAAACACAUCUUGUUAAGAGCUUCAAGCGCACCCUCAUCAAGGUUAAGCCAACUACUACUCAACUUUAAAUAGAAUUCUCUUUUCUCCUUUCGUUUUGAUGGAGUUGAGCCUAGAUGCUUCAUGCUUUUGGAGAAUAGCACUAGAGCCUGCACACCAGUAGCUAGUUAAUCAAAAUGCCAGAGAGGAAAUUACUUUAUAAGCAAAAUCUCACUGCAUAUGAAUGUCAUACUGGAUUCUGCAUUACUUCAUAC